UUAUUCUUCUGCCGCUGUUCCUCUGUACAUUGUUUGGAAUUAUCUCACCGUCUUAUUGCUAUUCAGGUAUGUAGUUAACAUAGAAUUGAUAUUGGAUGGAUGCAUGGAGCUCAAAUGGUUGUGUCUAUUGUGCAGGGAUGUGAUAAAUCACGAUGGUUGAUGCAUGGGAUGUUUAGAGCCAAUGAUGAGGCCCUGCUUUUUUUAUGCACAAGGGCUUAAAUGAUGAGGUUUUUGAUCCUAAAAAGACCUGGUAGUGACAAAGACAUUGAAGGUGAAAGCAUUUAUGGCCAAUGGAUGUCACUUGGAUUUUAAUCAAACCCCCUUUGAUUCAUUCUCCCUACAGACUUCUACACAAAAGUUGGUAAGUAUUUUGCAGAGCUCUGAUCACGUCAUAUGCAGCUGGUUGUUUAUAG